GUCUAUGGUCAUGCUACCCUGAACAAGCCCUAUCCCGUCUGAUUUCGGAAACUAAGCAGGUUUGGGUCUGGUUAGUACUUGGAUGAGAGACCACCUAGGAAGAACAGGUGCUGUAGGUG
rnacentral:rRNA from 1 species